UGGGAGGUGUGUGUGGAGGAAAGUGCCACCGUUGCCAUCACUGAUGAACAGGUUUCACAAAGUUGUUAGCUUUUGUUCCACAGUUUCACUGCAUAGUAUUCUUCGUGAACUUCAAGGCCCUGCUCUUUAAUUCUAGGUAUCCUUUUUUUCUUUACAUUACCAAUUUUCGAUUCAUAGUUUUUUAGGAAACACUUAAUUUAACCGCAUAAAAUGGUUUUGUUUUGUUUUCUUUUAUCUCUUACCAAUGAUUACAGUGGUUCGUGAUUGUGAAAUUAAGUUAAAUUAGUGCUGUAAAAAUUAGUUAAAAUUCACGGGCUAACGCUGAAACUACGGGUUUAGCACGAUUGAAAUUAGAAAAAUGUAAUUUUCUUUAUAUGGAUUAGCCCGACUCACCUAGAACUUGUUCAACGUCUACUUAUAACUUAUUACUCGAUGGAUGGAUUGUAUCCGUGAUGACUCAGUGUUAUCAAUUCACUUAAAUUUAAUUUAAUCAUUUAUUAUUUUAUAUUUCAAUAUUAUUAAUUAAUAAUUUUUAUUGUUAUAUUGUAAAUUGAGAUAAGAAAGAUGUUUCACAGAUAGGAAAAUAUUAUAAAUUAUUUAUUAAAGAUUCUUAUCUUAUAAAUAGAUAGCUGAUAUAAAAAUAAUAAAUAUUAUAAAUUUAUUUAUUCGUUUUUUAAGUUUGAUUUUGAAUUAUAUUUUACUUUUUUUUCUUAAUUGUCUUUGCACUUUAAUGUUAAAUUUUUUAGAUUUUAAUUAAAAAAAUUGUAAUCUUUUUUGGAUUUAAAAAGGUAAACUUAUAAUUAGACAAGUUAGUGAGCCAAUUAACUUAAUUCGAGUUCAAAUUUUUUGACUUGUUAAUAAAUAAGUCAGUUUGGUUGGCUUAUUAAAUAAUCCGUGAUGACUGGACUGAAACGGGUCGAAUGACCUGUUUUAACAACUCUAAUCAAAUGUGUGUUUUUUUUGGCCUUGUUUGUUUUAUGUUCUGUUUGUUUUACAGCAAUUUGUCUGUGCCUUUUGAUCAUGAUAUUAUUCGUAGUCCCAAUUAUCUUAUCAUCUCUUUGGUUCAAUGAUAGAUAAGUUUCUUAUAGGUUGGCUAGAGGGUAUUUCACCAAAUGCGUCUUUCAUUGUUUAAGCUACCUGAUAUUAGAAGUCAGUGUAGUGAUUGUCUCAUGUAAUUAAUCGUACUAACAACUGUCUCUUGACUGUGCAUAUGAUAGUUAUUCGCCCCUCAUAAAUCUACUUGCGUAUGAAGUUGUUGUAUGCAAUACUUUUUUGUUUAUUGCCUUUUAUAUUGGCUUGUCAGGAUUCUACUAUGUUGCUUAAUUGUUUUUUACCCUUUUUUAUGCCUAUUUCUGUGAAUGGGUGUUUAUGUAUUUAUGCCUUGUUUACCUCUGCUGGUAAUGAUUGCACGUGAAAGUUAGGAAAGGAAAAACGUUAUUGUUCUUUUUUAUUUAUCUGUUUAACAUGUUUUGACUCUGACAACAAUAAUGCUAGCUGAACUGACAUAUUUAGCAGUUUAGCUGCAUAAUUAGAGUAAUUAGCAUUACAAAAUGUUUAGUUCAUAAUUUGAUCAAGCUCAGAAACAUUGUUCAAAUUUUUGAAACAGAUAAAUUUCUCCAUCAAUGUGUAAAUUACCCUAUUUUCAGCUGUUGCUGAUACUCGAAUUCAUAUUUUUAUAACCAUCUUUUAUUCAUGUUAUAAAACUCCCAAGUUAAACAAGCAUAUUUCAAAAUUUUGUGAUGCAGAAAGUUACGAGGAAUUUCUAUAAUUAGGAGUAAGCUUCUUUUUUUCUGUUAUUAAGUGUCAAGCCUCUAUCAGUUUCUUCCAAGUGAGUAAACUGUCAAGUUCAAAUGGAUCUCGACCCUAGUUGAAUAAAACUAAGGGUUCCCACUUGUUAUCAUAGGAUGUUCGUGUGUGUCUGUAUAGACACAGACACAUACACAUAUAUAUUUAAUUUAAAUUGUGUUUACAACUUUCAAUAUGUUCAAAGUUUAUUUUAAUGGUUGAUUGAAGGUGUCAAUAACUUAGUUCUGUGUACAAAUUGAUCAUUAUUGAGCUAUUCCAUUGCCUACCAUUUUCUACUUCACACUAACUCACUCACUAUUGAGGUUCUUUCUUUAUCAUACUUUUGUGUUCUGUUUGGUUUUACUAUAAUUUAUACUAUCUUCGAAGUUUACAUCUCUUUGGUUUUACUAUAAUUUACACCACAACACACAUAGGUACAGGUAAAGAGAGAGAUUAGAGAGAAAAGAUGAACUGUUAAUAUGUAUUGAUUAGCAAAAAUUUGAGUCUCAGCACUCCCAUAACGAGUUUCCAAUACCUGCUACUACAGUAAUAAAAUUGCUAUUUAUACACUAUCACUUCCAAACUGACUGACUUGUUGUGGGUCAGUUUGGUUUGUUCUGUUCUUAUUUCUUCAAGAAUUUACUUUAGUAAUAGGUCUCAUGUUCCUAAGAAUCUCCUCCCAAAAAAAGAUCCACCUUGUCCUCCUGCUACCUGUCUGAUAUUAACACAUUUUCUGGUUGAACCUGGAUCUCCAUGUCAUCUGCUAGGGUGAGGGGUAGAGCUUGAACAAGCUGUGGUGAGCUGACUACUCUCUUGAGGAGAGACACAUGAAAAUCUGGGUGAAUCAUGCUAUCCUCUGGUUAAUUCAUCAAAUAGACUGGUUGAUCAGCAAUGGGAUAUUUCAUAACUAUUGGGGUACUCCAAUCCAUUUACAAGAUAUGUACAGGGCGGUAGAUACAAUAAUAAUUCAAAACUCCCUUUCUAGUAGAUUGUAAGAUUUCAUCCCUAUUCUAUAUAAUAGAAUAUACUUUUCCAUCUAUACAUUGGAAUUGACCCAUAUAUUAGCUUUCUACAUUUUAUCUAACAUAUACUUCAUUUAAGUAGUGG
rnacentral:lncRNA from 1 species